GCACCCUUUGUAACCCCUUAAGUUAUUAAAAAAAGAUGUUUUUUUCCUAUUUUUGCAUGGAAUAGAACAUCUGAGGAUCAAUUGUAGCUCCAAAGGUUGGGAUCAACACUGAAGAAAGCCAUGGUGAUGCCUUCCAGAAGGUUCUUCUGCCUACUAUACCACCUGGACAGGUCAUGGGCCUCUGAGGAGCACCUUAGUAUGAGAAGAUGCCCCUCUGAUGUGGGAAGACCCAACAUUAUUUUCGUUGGAAAGGAACUCACGGAGCUGACGUGUCAGUGGGUUCUGCCUGGAGUCAUGAGGACAACCCACAGAGGCAAAUACCUAAGCUUGGAGCCAGCAUGGAGCCAAUUAACAUGGAACAAGCAAACACACAACACCCACAGACUCUGAUUAAAGUGCGCAUUAUUGGAC
rnacentral:lncRNA from 1 species